GCCGUGUUAGCUUAGUUGGUGGAGCGGCGGACUGUUAAUCCGCAGGUCGCAGGUUCAAAUCCUGCACACGGCG
rnacentral:tRNA from 1 species